AUUGAACGCUGGCGGCAGGCCUAACACAUGCAAGUCGAACGGUAGCACAGAGGAGCUUGCUCCUUGGGUGACGAGUGGCGGACGGGUGAGUAAUGUCUGGGAAACUGCCCGAUGGAGGGGGAUAACUACUGGAAACGGUAGCUAAUACCGCAUAACGUCUUCGGACCAAAGUGGGGGACCUUCGGGCCUCACACCAUCGGAUGUGCCCAGAUGGGAUUAGCUAGUAGGUGGGGUAAUGGCUCACCUAGGCGACGAUCCCUAGCUGGUCUGAGUGGAUGACCAGCCACACUGGAACUGAGACACGGUCCAGACUCCUACGGGAGGCAGCAGUGGGGAAUAUUGCACAAUGGGCGCAAGCCUGAUGCAGCCAUGCCGCGUGUAUGAAGAAGGCCUUCGGGUUGUAAAGUACUUUCAGCGGGGAGGAAGGCGUUAAGGUUAAUAACCUUGGCGAUUGACGUUACCCGCAGAAGAAGCACCGGCUAACUCCGUGCCAGCCGCCGCGGUAA
rnacentral:rRNA from 1 species